GACGAACGCUGGCGGCGUGCUUAACACAUGCAAGUCGAACGGAAAGGCCCCUUUGGGGUUACUCGAGUGGCUAACGGGUGAGUAACACGUGCGUAACCUGUCCUUGACUUCGGGUUAACUUCAGGAAACUGGGGCUAAUACCGGCUAGGAAUCCUUGCUGCAUGGUGGGGGUUGGAAAGCUUCGGCGGUUUUGGAUGGACUCGCGGCUUAUCAGCUUGUUGGUGGGGUAGUGGCUUACCAAGGCUUUGACGGGUAGCCGGCCUGGGAGGGCGACCGGCCACAUUGGGACUGGGAUACGGCCCAGACUCCUACGGGGGGCAGCAGGGGGGAAUAUUGCACAAUGGGCGGAAGCCUGAUGCAGCAACGCCGCGUGCGGGAUGACGGCCUUCGGGUUGGAAACCGCUUUCAGCAGGGGCGAAGCUUGUGGUGACGGUACCUGCAGAAGAAGCACCGGCUAACUACGUG
rnacentral:rRNA from 1 species